rnacentral:lncRNA from 1 species
AUUUGAUUUAUGUCCGUCAUGACCGGUAUUUGGACCCACUUUGUUUUGGGCCUUUGGCCCCUUUCCACAUGUCCUAAAAUUCUAACAAUACAAUAAUGAUAAAAGAAACAAGGGCAUAGACCAAAAAAUAAAAAAAUACAAAGUUCAGAAAAAAAAAUUGGGCUUCUUAAGCAAAAAUCCUCAACUUCUUGGUUUGUACGUCGAUUUGUGAGCUUUACUCGAUGGAGGAAUUUGAGCCUUGGCGGCUCUAUGUAGGAAUGCGAGAGGAAGAAAAUUGUUCAUAGUGAACUCGAGUUCCUUUACAUUCAACAUAAAUAAAGGGGAAAUUUAAUAAAUAAUUUAACUAUCGUAGCAUAGGGAAAACAAGUUAACUUACUGGAAAAUAUUCACUUAUUUGGGAAAAAAUAGUACAUCGGCAUAUAUAUAGCCAGACCUUUCUUUUAAAAAAAUAAAUAAAUAGAGCAUAACAUUCAUCUAAAGAAUUGUGAUCAUUAAUAGUACCAAUGCGAUAUGACAAGGAUUGAGCAACUAAGCUAAGAGCAUUAAUAACAGUGAGCCUAAAUCACCACAUAUUUUAUAAUAACAAACUACAUAUUUACCAAAAACUAAGUAUUUGAAAAAAACAUAAACUAAAAGAAAUUGCAGUACAAUAACAUGACAAAGGGGACUGAGGAUAAAAGGGGUAAUAAAUUACAACUAGAGAGAUAAUCGAUCAACAUUAUUUCUGUACACCUCCAAAUUUAAUUACUUAGAGAACUAGAUAGAGCUAAACAUAUAUAAGCUACCUGGGAACACGUAAUAGCAAAGUAUAGGUCACUUGAGGAUGCUACAGGCAAAAAUACCAAAAGAAACAAGGGAUUUAGAGGACCAUACAAUCGAACAAUGACACCCAUAUCGUAAUGACAAUCAAACAUAACGAGAAUCAUACUAAUGUCACGAAACAAGUCACUAUAAGUUGACAGCAACACAACAAAGCACAACCUUCCAGAUUAUAACACUUGAAAGGGCAAAAAGACACUAUAGGCAUCAAACAUGGGGAUCAAUAGGGAAAAGCAGAACAUUAUAGAUUUUUUUUUAAAAAAGACAGUGAGGACUCUAAAUGGGUAGUAAUAAAUACAAUCCAAGGACUCUAAAACAAUAGCUAAAUUGACAACUUUUCAAUAAAAAUAAUAAAAAUUCAUAAAAAUAUAUAACCACAUUAAAACAUACUCACAAGAUGAAAUGAUAAAAAAUAUAUUGUCCAUCUAUGCACUUAAUAGUAAUCAAAUUAGGUGAUACCCGCAUUAAACAUGUAGAAGCCACUAAAAUUUAAUAACAUUACAAUGUGAGACCUCUUACUGUACGUAAAUAGAGAGCAACAAGACAUGAACUAAUUUCCACACACUACCAGAAAAUAAAUUAGCAUGAACUAGCUUCCAUGUUUUCAAAAAAAAGUCACAAGGUGGCAUAACUAGAUUACGGGAAGUUAGGGAAAUCACUAUACCAUACCCAUGAAGGAUAACACCAAAGAAAUCAUGAUUCAAAUGACCUUAAACCCUUAAAUCUCUCGAAACUAAGAUUGGGAAAAUAAAAUAAGAAACUCAGACUUUACCCAACUCGAAUUGCAAAUAUAGGCAUUUUCAGACUGAAAUUUGAACAGCCUGCAGGGAAAAAACUUAACUACAUGAGUCAAAUUAGAUAGUAAGAGCACAAGGAAAUUUUAAGUAAAAGAUGAAAUUAAGUGAUUGGGACAAAAAUGCUACUGCACUACUAUACUUAGUCAAACCAGUCACUCUCAAAAUUUAAACAAGUCAAAAAUCCAAAAACAUUCAAUCAGUUUAUGGAAAGGAAUGAACAACAUGCUCUCCAAAAUUAAUUAUUCAUGCAGAUGCAUAACAAAACAGACAUGAACCAAGACUCACGAGGUAAUUUCGAAACUGAUUACAACAAUUCUAUGAAAAUCAAGAUGAUAGGAGCAACCAUAGUCGUAAACCAGCAUUCGAGUACCCAAACAUACACACUUGAAUCAUAGAAAAUGAAAGACCAAAGUCUUGAUAAUACAAGGCAUCUUUAUUCUGGCCAAAUUUUUAUAAAAGUACAACCGAAUAAACAAAUCAAACGAAAACCCAGACAAAGGAAAAGACGGUAGGAAAAGCGGGAUUAUAUACCUUUUCUGUUAUAACAAAAAGACAUCGAGCUAGACGUUGUGAUCCUUCCACCAUGAAAGUGAAAUCACGAACCAGAAACCCUUGCCGAAAUUUAGAAUUCAAAGCAACGACUAGCCUUUUCAAAAAUUUGAAUCGAAGAACUUCCUAUUUUCUUUGUUUGGAUUUUGCACUAUGUUCUUUCCGUUUUACUUAAAUUCUAUGUAUUUUUUAUCUAGAAAUUUUCCUACCUCCCAAAAAUCUCUGUACCCAAAAAUAUUUUCUAAUUCCCCCCAGCUCCCAAACAAAAAAUUACAAGGGGGCAUAAAUAGAGGAGGUCUUUUGAAAAAAUGGGCGGAAAUGAGGACCCAUUCCAAAGUCAAAAUUUGUUUUAUUGUAAGAGAUAGGGUUGGACAGCUGGGAAUCUAUACAAAAUUGCACAAUUCCUCAACGGAACAACAAUCUGGGCACUUGAUUUCGAACAAGGAUGAGAAAACGCACGAGAUCUCGCUAUCUCACAGUGUUCUUCCUACCAAAUUGUACUCAGGGCAGAGAGAUGAAGAAGACACAAGAAAUUAGUUGAUUUCCGUCUAUCUUUAUGAUGGAAUUGACAUCGUUGGGAUCGUUUAGUUAUACUGUAAUGGGUCGGGUUUGG